GGAGUUGGUGAGUGGCGGCUUAUGUAGAGAAAGAGGAAAAGGCAGCCAUGGGUGAAGAAAAGAAGACGAUUCUGCGUUAUGAAGAAAAAGAGGAAGACGAUGGGUUGUAAAGAGAGAGAAGAUUUUGUCAUUGAAAUUAUCAAGUUACCCUUACCAACAUAAGAAAAUUACAAAAUUGACCUGUUGUCAUGUGAAAAUAAUAUAUUUUAUUAUUGUUGUCCAAUGUUGUCCAAAAUAUGCGUGUCCAUNNNNNNNNNNNNNNNNNNNNNNNNCUCUUUUAUAUAAUAUGAUUGCCAAAAAAAAAAAAAAACAAUUAUUAUCAAAGUAACUUUACCCAUAUUUACACAAAUUUUUUGUUACUUUUUAAUUGACACAGUUGAAUUUGUGGUAUUUAGGUAAAAGAAUAGGAGAAAACAAUAAGAAACAUAAAUAUUAUUGAUAAUGAUGUUGAUGACCUAAAAAUAAUUAAUUACUUAAUAAAAUAGUAUGAUACUAUCUUGGUAUUUAUAACCAAGUAAAUAUAUUUAAACCUAAACUAGUUUAAGGACCCGUGCAUUCACACGAGUCAUCGACAUUUAUUCGAUGUUUAAGUUUGUCAUUAUAUU
rnacentral:lncRNA from 1 species